rnacentral:misc_RNA from 1 species
GUAGGUGAACCUGCGGAGGGAUCAUUAACACGAAUACAGUUUGAAGUUCGCAAGAAUAACAAACUCGUUUCAACAACAAAAGCUAAACUCGUGCACUUAGGUCUUAUUAGUUAGUAUAUACAUUUCGGUGUAUAUAUUGAUUAGUAAGCCAUCCUCUCCUAACAAAUGUUUGAACGAAGUCCUUUAUUGGGCGAUGGAAAAGAAUUUUGCAGUCGUGAGUCGUUAAUAAUUCUAUGUGAUGGCAUACUUC